rnacentral:misc_RNA from 1 species
GAUGAAGGAACGCAGCGAAAUGCGAUAAGUAAUGCGAAUUGCAGAAUUCCAGUGAGUCAUCGAAUCUUUGAACGCACAUUGCGCCCUUUGGUAUUCCGAAGGGCAUGCCUGUUCGAGCGUCAUUAUCACCCCUCAAGCCCUCGGCUUGGUGUUGGACGGUUUGGUGGAGGCCCCCUCGGGGGCUCCUGCCCCUCCCAAAGACAAUGACGGCGGCCUCGUUGGACCCCCGGUACACUGAGUUCUUCACGGGACACGUAUCGGACACAUGGGUUUACGGGACACGGUCUGCCUCCCCUCAGGGAGAAUCUUUCUAAGGUUGACCUCGGAUCAGGUAGGGAUACCCGCUGAACUUAAGCAUAUCAAUAAGCGGAGGA